GACGAACGCUGGCGGCGUGCUUAACACAUGCAAGUCGAACGGUAAGGCCCUUCGGGGUACACGAGUGGCGAACGGGUGAGUAACACGUGGGUGAUCUGCCCUGCACUUCGGGAUAAGCCUGGGAAACUGGGUCUAAUACCGGAUAGGACCCUGGGAUGCAUGUCCUGGGGUGGACAGCUUUUGCGGUGUGGGAUGGGCCCGCGGCCUAUCAUCUCGUUGGUGGGGUGAUGGCCUAAAAAGGCGACGGCGGGUAGCCGGGCUGAGAGGGUGACCGGCCACAGUGGGGCUGCGAUACGGCCCCGACUCCUAGGGGAGGCAGGAGUGGGGAAUAUUGCACAAUGGGCGCGAGCCUGCUGCAGCGACGCCGCGUGAGGGAUGACGGCCUUCGGGUUGUAAACCUCUUUCAGCACCGACGAAGCGCAAGUGACGGUAGGUGCAGAAGAAGGACCGGCCAACUACGUGCCAGCCGCCGCGGUAA
rnacentral:rRNA from 1 species